rnacentral:rRNA from 1 species
GAGCGGAUGACGGGAGCUUGCUCCUUGAUUCAGCGGCGGACGGGUGAGUAAUGCCUAGGAAUCUGCCUGGUAGUGGGGGACAACGUUUCGAAAGGAACGCUAAUACCGCAUACGUCCUACGGGAGAAAGCAGGGGACCUUCGGGCCUUGCGCUAUCAGAUGAGCCUAGGUCGGAUUAGCUUGUUGGUGAGGUAAUGGCUCACCAAGGCGACGAUCCGUAACUGGUCUGAGAGGAUGAUCAGUC